UCUUACUUGGACAUCUGUAAAUACAUGGAGGAAUAGUCGAAUUGUCGUUUUUAUCGGUUUUUACAAUUUUAUUGCACCGUUUACGUAGCAACUUAUUUUUCAUGAUAAGUACCUUUCCUCGUUAAAAAAUUGAUAAGUAUUGGUGAUUUCCAGUAAAAAGGGUAGUCGAUCAUGCAAAUAUAUGGAAAAAUAGUGGAAAUUAAGAUUUUUUCAAUUUUUUACUAUUUUAUUGCGUCAUAUAUAGAACAACUUAUUUUUCACGAUAAGCACCUUUCCUCGUUAACAAAUUGGAAAGUACUCGUGAUUUUCGGUAAAAAAAGCGGUUCAACAUGAAAAUGCGUAGAAAAAUAGUGGAAAUAUUGAUUUUUUCGAUUUUUAACUAUUUUAUUGCGUCAUAUUUAGAAUAACAUACAUAUUUUUCAUGAUGGCCAUCUUCCCUCGUUAACAAAUUGGAAAAUACUCGUGAUUUUUCGUAAAAAAAGGGGUUGAUCAUGAAAAUGCGUGGGAAAAUAGUGGAAUCAUCGGUUCCUAUUGAUUUCUACAGUUAUUUCGCGUCAGCUGCAUAACGCUUUCCGUUUUGGCAUGUGCUACGUGUUUCGCUAGAAAAUUUUGGAAUACUGGAGAUUACCAAGAAAAAUAAAUGUUAACAGCCACAAUAUAUUGUCGGACUACAUCAUCUGUUCACACAUUGAUGCGGGAAUUACAACAAAAAAAUGAUGGAGUAUAAAAGUUGAAUAGAUACAUUAAAGAUACUUUCCAGCGUAGAAUGAAAUACUAGGACAAACGACAAAAAUGUACUCUGCAAACAGAUGCAAUUAAUUUCUUGCAAGAUAUAUGUGGAAAUAUGUUUAAGGAUUCAUUCAGACAUUGAUGAGGAACUUCCAAC